UAUAGGAUUACUUACUAUUCGUUUUCGUCGGACGUGUUUAGUCCCAGAAUGCACAACCACUUCGUCACGUUACUUACCGAGUAAUACUUCGCCGCUGGAAGUGAAUUCAGAAGACACAACCUCCCACCAAUGGUAUCUGGAUAUUCGCGCGAGAAAGAGGUAACUUUUACAUGAAUUUACCGACGCUCGUAUCGAAUUAUAGUUCGACAGUUCGUCAUUACUCCCUGCGCGUUGGCGUCGAGAGGAGAGAUGGACGAUGUAGGAGGGAUCUAGUUAUCAUUAUCAACAGUAUCCGGCCAGGAUAACAAUGGAAAGGUGUUCGUUAUAAACAAAGCAGAAUAUUUAUUUUCUAUUUAUGGAUCUAAGACUAAUUUUUAAACUAGGUAGCGCAGCACAGAGGAGUAAGUUACAUAAAGAUAUUAUAGAUAGAAUGCAGGGCCGGUUUUAACAAAAUUGGCGCCCCGAUCAAGAUUAUCGUGGCGCUCCUUCAGGGGUGUAUACAGGGUGUCCCAAAACCGUUGUAACACCUUGAAAGGAGUGGUUCAGGAGGUGAUUUCAAACAACUUUUUCCUUAGCGAAAAUGUUGUCCGAGACUUCGUUGAGGAGAUAUUAAGCAAAAACCCCGACCAAUCAGAGCGCGAGUAUGCCGGUUGAGCGUAGGCUACGCGAUAGGCGGCCACGCUCAUACGCUACCGCGGGCGCUCCAACGAUAUACGCACGCUCUGAUUGGUCGGGGUUUUCUGUUAAUAUCUCCUUGACCAAGCCCCAUCUGACAUUUUUGCAAAGGAAAAAGUUGUUUCAAAUCACCUCCUGAACCACCUCUUUCAAUGUGUUACAAUAUUUUUGGGACACCCUGUAUUAAUCUUUUCUACUUGUAUUACAUAAUUUCUGUUAGUAUUAGUAUUAUUUAAUAAUAAUAUUAUCAUCAUUUAUAUGUCUGUUAGCACCUCGGACAACAUUUUCGCUUAGGAAAAGUUGUUUCAAAUCACCUCCCGAAUCAUCCCUUUCAAAGUAUUACAACAUUUUUGGGACACCCUGUAUAUCGAUAUAUUCGUAUACCAGGGAUACCGGACUGCGACGCCCCCAAAAAUCUGGCGCCCCGUGCGGUUGCCCGACCGCGCCUCCUCCCCUAACACCGGCCCCGAUAGAGUGAAAGAGUCAGAUCUCUGGCUGUACUACAACUAAAAGAAAAAAGAAAAUCGCGAUACCCUGCCUGUCUCUAUUUACCAGCGCAUUUUUAUGUCAACGGUAAAUGGAUAUCGUUUGUACUUUUAAUUAUUAUAGAUACAUUUUACAUUCGCAUUAAUAAAAGCACGGAGAUAGAUAAAGUGGCGCAGUUUUUUCUCUCUUUUUUUUUUUAUUAAGCUUUGGACUCGAUAAUGAUCCAUAAACUGACAAUUACAAUUAAAGUAUAUUACAUUUUUAUUUACAUUUUACAUUACAAUACGGUUACAAAUCGUGUAUAGGAAAGUAGAGUUGUGGGUGUGUAGGUAUAGUGUUUGUUUAAUGGAGUUGUGAACUGAUGGGUAGAGUGAUUUCGAUUUUGGUAACGGUUAUAUGUUAAGGUUGUUGGUUUGCAGAAACUUAGUUAUUAUUUUCACUGCUGUGGUAUUGGGUCCUUGGAGAAAAGGUUCUAUGGAGUAUGGAGGUCUCCAUCCAUGUUGAGCCAGCGAGGUGAUCAUUUGUUGUCUGGUAUUCAAGUACUUGGGACAGUCUCAUAAUAUGUGGUUAAGCGUUUGUUUAGGAUGGCCGCACGAGCAUUUACUAUCCUUGAUAAUUCCUGUUCUUGCCAAGGACUCUGCUAGGUUGUAAUAGUUAGACCUAUGUCGUGUGACCCAGGAAGUGAUGUACCUGGAAAGUCUGCAGUUUUGGAACUAGGGAGUUUUGUACUUACAGGUAGGCUUAUGUCUCCCCUGCUCUAUCUAUAAUAUCUCUAUGAUAAACUGUCGUUUAAUUAAAUGAAUGAGAAUGGAGGUACAAAUGAGAGUUUUUAUUGUAGAAAAGCAUAUAUAUAUUAUUUUGUAUAUUACUAGAUUUAUCAAGAUUUAAUCAAGAUUUAAUGUAGAGAUAUAUUCACCUUGUGUCGUCUUAAAUAUUACAUUUACAUAUCUCAUUUGAUAAAUGUUCUCAUUUCUGUAUUUUACUUAAAAAAUAUUAUACAAAAUAUGCUACUUUAAUUUUCACGAGUUUCGUAAAUAUUUAGUUUGUAAACAAAGUCCUUUUAUAUAAUUUGUUACAUUUAAUGGAUGUUAUUAACGAAUCAAUCAUUUAAAAUUAAUAAAUGUAAUAUAAGUUUGAAAGAAUUACAAUAAACACAAUGCAUAUUUUCUUGUCUCUAUGUCUGGGGCACAGAAAUUUCAUAGGGAUGCUUCUCAAAAAGCUGAUCUAUAUAUUUAAGAGCAUAAGACAAAUUCUGUGAUAGUUAUAUUAACUGAAUACAUUUACAGUUCAUGACUUGUAUGUGGGUUAUAGCGUAAUGCUAUCAGAUACAUUGCUGAGAAGCCAGACAGUAAAGUUUUUGUUGGAAUUUCCUGAAAGCAAAUAUCUGUAUAAACGGGGUGUCCCUUUACAUUGCAAUAUUAGCAACCAAAUACUACACAGUAACUCUACUAAAAUUGAAGAUUGCCAAGGCCAAUGCAACAAUUCCCUUACGUCUACUAUCAAUACCACGCUUGACUAUAAAGGCAAUUCAGACUUCGUCUAUAUUAGUGAUUCAGGAGGACAAUUGUUCAGUUAUUUACUGGUAAAGUAUUAGGUUGUCCCAAAAGUUUCUUCCGUGACUUGCACUCAGUUAUUUUGUGCGGCAAUGUUUAUAUAAAUAGACAACCUGAUUUCUUAGAUGUUAAUGUUGUAACAGCAGUGGAGCAAAAUGAAUCGUAAGCAAUUCAAUAACGUAACAUUAGACAUAAAAUAUUGUGUAUGCAUUACUUAUUAAUGAAAUGGAAGAAACUUUUAGGACAACCUAAUAUUUGGCUAAUUAAUCGGCAAAAUAUAUUUCUACAAGACAAUUAAUCAAAUAUUUUGUUUUACAAUCGUUACGAUUAAGAUUAUUAUUUCAAUUUAAAUUAAUUUUUGAAAUAAUGAAAUUAAAAGUGUUAUAUUACAAAAUACUGUUUAAAAUUUAUGCACCCCACGUCAUACUUCUCACUAAAGACAUUUAUUAUGGAGCCACUAGAUAGUAUUAAAAACUUUUAUGGUUAAUUGUCCGAUAAUUUACCAGCUGUGAGUUGGUAAAAUAAGAAAAAUAUAUUUUAUCGGGAAAAUGGAAUCACUAGUACAUAUGUAUAGUCUUAGGUCUAUGAGAUAAUCAUGCCUCUCACAAUUAAACAGGAUUUUACUCAGAAGUAGGUAAUCCAACCGGAAUAAUUCAUUGUUUUUCGUUUGUAAUCUCAUGUUGUAUUAAUAGUCGUAUACUUCUAAAAUACAGGUGUUCCAUAAAAAUGACUAUAUGUAUAAUUAACUACGUCAAACGCACAGCGUACGUGCACACGUGAGAUCGAUGCAGAUUGCUUUCCAGAGGGCCAGAAAUAGGCAAUAUUCUCAUCUGAAUAAAAGUGCCGGAUAACGAAUUAACAAAAAAAGUAACAUUUUAUUGAUUACUAGAAUUAUAAAAUAAGAGUUUCUAUUGCAAGAUUAAAUAUUUUACCGAUGAUCGAAUAAGAAGUUAAAUAAAACACGAAAAAGAACAAAAUCUCGAACUUCUUUGAUAAUAAAGAGCUACGAAUAAAAAAUUGAUGAAUGAAAAGACAAACAGGCAAACAUAAAAAGAAUUGAAAAGUCGACAAAUUAAAAAAUAGAUGAAACUAAAGCAUCGUCAAGCCAAAACAAAAAAUUAAAAGAAAGUCAAAAAUCAGUAAAACUGAAAUUUAACUCCUCGAUUAGAUAAACAUCACGAAAAGAUCGUACGUUGGUUUUACGCGUGACUGGUAAUAUGAAUAAACUUUGCCUAUCUCUGCAAGAGAUAUUCCCUUUCUCUUAGACGAGAGACACUCUUGUUUAUCUAACACGGAAAAAUUGAUGAUAAUUCGUGAAAAUUUUCCAUGGUGCACGACGCUCGAUGCUGCAUAGUCGAUUCAUUAUCUGUUUUUCUUUCGAGAUGAACUUGAGGUACGUUACUUACGUAAUUAGCUACUCUACUGUGACGAAUAGAGCUAUUGUAGAAUACUGUAUCUCCCGAUUCGGCGUCUGGUAAUACCCCGUUACGUCAAUAACGAAUAAACUUAUUCAAGAUAUAAGAGGCCACAAAUGUCGGUUUCCAUUGGAAUAUAUUUACUCGUUUUCGAAUUUGAGCACGGGUUACCUGUUUAUCAACAGUAGUGUACGUGUACAUAAGUUGUAUGACAGAGAUGCUUAAAUUUCUUAUGUAUACAAGAACAUUGUAGGUAACGAAUAUAAAAUAAAUAAUCAUUUGUUGAAUAAAAAUUACAAUUUGAUUGAUAAACAAAAAUUAUAUACUGCGUUAAACGUUUAAAAGCUAAACGGUAAGCAAGACUUAAUGGUACUUUAACCAAGUACCAUUUGGUACCAUUGUCAGAAGAUGAUAAGUAGCAACUGUAACCAACAAUGGGUGCUUUCCAAUUCCUGAACAAAUACGAAAGUGUGAUAAAGUAUAAAGCGCGAUCCGGGCUGGUAUUUUUUCGUCUUUGAAAGGCAAACUUCAGAUUUAUUCGAAGCCUAGAAUUUUGCCCAUCACUGAUUGGAAAGCACCCAGUUGCUUUUUACUUUUCUCUGACAUUGUCUUUCAUGCCGAAUUGUGACACAUUAUACGUGUUAUUUUUAAUAUUAUAUCUGAGAGAAACAAAUAAUUAAAUAAUGUAGGUAGGUUUUGCUACAAAAAUCUCACAAACAACUGUUACGAUUACAUGAAAUAUGCCUUAAUAACACUUGCCUUUUCACGAGGUUGAAUACUAAAAAGCUAAGAAAUACGCUGAUCAGGAACUACAAUAGUGCUGAUGGUAGACAGUAGAUUAGAAAAUACUUUGUUCCAAUUGAAUCAUGCACAACGCUACACUUUUUGCAAUCCUGUGUACAAAAUUGUCAAGAUUGGAAAGCACCCAAUGAUACAAGUUAAAGCACUCAACCACAGCCACCUAUAGUACUAGCCGUACUGAUGGUAAAUCUGGCAAUAACGCAGGAAUUCAAGCAACAAAAACUGCUAAAUGGUAAAAAAGAAGACAAUAAUUUUUAGUGCCCCGAAGGAAAGUUUAACCAUUGCAACUGUGGUGUUGCUAAAUUAUUCAGAACGGCUAGUACAACAGGUGGCUGUGACUUAACUGUGCC